GAUUUUGAGACUGCUAUUCAGCACUAUUCAAAAGCUAUGAAACUUGAUGAUGGGGAUAUUUCAUUCCUUACUAAUAUGGCUGUUGUGUACUUGGGGAUGGGAAAGGUAUACACUUUAAUUUCUAAUUUAUGGUGUUUUUAAAAAGAAUUUUU